ACGAACGCUGGCGGCGUGCUUAACACAUGCCAGUCGAACGGUGAAGCUCCAGCUUGCUGGAGUGGAUCAGUGGCGAACGGGUGAGUAACACGUGAGCAACCUGCCCCUGACUCUGGAAUAAGCGCUGGAAACGGCGUCUAAUACUGGAUACGAGAAGGGUCCGCAUGGGCACUUUCUGGAAAGUUUUUCGGUUGGGGAUGGGCUCGCGGCCUAUCAGCUUGUUGGUGAGGUAAUGGCUCACCAAGGCGACGACGGGUAGCCGGCCUGAGAGGGCGACCGGCCACACUGGGACUGAGACACGGCCCAGACUCCUACGGGAGGCAGCAGUGGGGAAUAUUGCACAAUGGGCGAAAGCCUGAUGCAGCGACGCCGCGUGAGGGAUGACGGCCUUCGGGUUGUAAACCUCUUUCAGCAGGGAAGAAGCGAAAGUGACGGUACCUGCAGAAGAAGCACCGGCUAACUACGUG
rnacentral:rRNA from 1 species